UACGUAGGUGGCAAGCGUUGUCCGGAUUUACUGGGCGUAAAGGGCGUGCAGGCGGUCUGUUAAGUGCAGGGUGAAAGCUCCCGGCUCAACUGGGAGAGGUCCUUGCAUACUGGCGGACUUGAGGGGGGUAGAGGAAAGUGGAAUUCCCGGUGUAGUGGUGAUAUGCGUAGAUAUCGGGAGGAACACCUGUGGCGAAGGCGGCUUUCUGGGCCCUACCUGACGCUGAGGCGCGAAAGCUAGGGGAGCGAACAGG
rnacentral:rRNA from 1 species